GCAGCCGCGGUAAUACGUAGGUGGCAAGCGUUAUCCGGAUUUAUUGGGUGUAAAGGGCGUGUAGGCGGGACUGCAAGUCAGAUGUGAAAACUCGGGGCUCAACCUCGAGCCUGCAUUUGAAACUGUAGUUCUUGAGUGCUGGAGAGGCAAUCGGAAUUCCGUGUGUAGCGGUGAAAUGCGUAGAUAUACGGAGGAACACCAGUGGCGAAGGCGGAUUGCUGGACAGUAACUGACGCUGAGGCGCGAAAGCGUGGGGAGCAAACAGGAUUAGAUACCCC
rnacentral:rRNA from 1 species